rnacentral:rRNA from 1 species
CCGCCGUCACACCACUGGGAGUUGGCCAUACCCGAAGGCGCUGCGCUAACCUCGCAAGAGGAGGCAGGCGACCACGGUAGGUCAGCGACUGGGGUG